rnacentral:rRNA from 1 species
GAGGGAAAGGCGAAAAGAACCCCGGCGAGGGGAGUGAAAAAGAACCUGAAACCGUGUACGUACAAGCAGUAGGAGCCUCUUUAUGGGGUGACUGCGUACCUUUUGUAUAAUGGGUCAGCGACUUAUAUUCUGUAGCAAGGUUAACCGUAUAGGGGAGCCGUAGGGAAACCGAGUCUUAACUGGGCGAAUGAGUUGCAGGGUAUAGACCCGAAACCCGGUGAUCUAUCCAUGGGCAGGUUGAAGGUUGGGUAACACUAACUGGAGGACCGAACCGACUAAUGUUGAAAAAUUAGCGGAUGACUUGUGGAUGGGGGUGAAAGGCCAAUCAAACCGGGAGAUAGCUGGUUCUCCCCGAAAGCUAUUUAGGUAGCGCCUCGUGAACUCAUCUUCGGGGGUAGAGCACUGUUUCGACUAGGGGGUCAUCCCGACUUACCAACUCGAUGCAAACUGCGAAUACCGAAGAAUGUUAUCACGGGAGACACACGGCGGGUGCUAACGUCCGUCGUGAAGAGGGAAACAACCCAGACCGCCAGCUAAGGUCCCAAAGUCAUGGUUAAGUGGGAAACGAAGUGGGAAGGCUCAGACAGCCAGGAUGUUGGCUUAGAAGCAGCCAUCAUUUAAAGAAAGCGUAAUAGCUCACUGGUCGAGUCGGCCCGCGCGGAAGAUGUAACGGGGCUAAACCAUGCACCGAAGCUGCGGCAGCGA